CAGCAAAGUAAAUAUCAAAGACCCCAGCUGCCAAUCACCUAUUGUGCUACAAUGCUCAACCCAGUGAGUAAUGGUAAGAAUUACCCUGCUGGUUCUCUUAAGGCUGUAGAAUCUGCACAACACAUUCUUUGUAUAUCCAGAUGGAUUUUAUGGAUGAGAAUGAAGAGGACCUUUUCUCAUCUAAAUGUGGCUGUGUAGCAGGCCGGUGUGGCUCCCCUCCUCCCCAGGAAGGGUUGAGCCGCGCCGGACACCGGAAGGGGCGGGGCUACAGAGCAGUGAGCCCGCCCCUCAGAGGGUCAGGCGGCGACCCGGAAGCAUAAAAGCCGGCCAUUGGAGCUCAGUCGGAGCCCAGCCACCGUCGGGAGCAGACCUGCCAGAGAGGACUCGGGACUGGGAAGCCGCUGGAGCCCAGGGCAGUUGCCCUGACUGGCCGGAGCUUCCCCUCGCCCGCUACUGGGAGGACCCGCCGGAGUUUCCCCGUGCCAGCUAUGAGGAGGAGCCACUGGAGACUCCCCCUCUCCCUUGCUGUUACCCCGAGGAGCCCCCGGAGCAAACCUGGCCGGAUUUCCCAGAGGAGCUGCCGGAUCUACCCCCCAGCCCGGGCAGCAAGGAGCCCAUGCUGUUGGACUUCCCGGGAGCGGACGCUACGGACCAGCCUUGAAGACACAAGGCAGGACACGCCUAAAGAGCAGCAGGCCGGUGUGGCUCCCCUCCUCCCCAGGAAGGGUUGAGCCCCGGCCACCCAACUUUACAAGCUGUUAUCCUUUGACCAGAAUCUUCCAGUGUGC